rnacentral:rRNA from 1 species
CAAUAGAUACCCUGGUAGUCCACGCCCUAAACGAUGCGAACUGGAUGUUGGGUACAUUACGGUACUCAGUGUCGAAGCUAACGCGUUAAGUUCGCCGCCUGGGGAGUACGGUCGCAAGACUGAAACUCAAAGGAAUUGACGGGGGCCCGCACAAGCGGUGGAGUAUGUGGUUUAAUUCGAUGCAACGCGAAGAACCUUACCUGGCCUUGACAUCUGUCGAAUCCUGCAGAGAUGCGGGAGUGCCGCAAGGAACGACAAGACAGGUGCUGCAUGGCUGUCGUCAGCUCGUGUCGUGAGAUGUUGGGUUAAGUCCCGCAACGAGCGCAACCCUUGUCCCUAGUUGCCAGCACGUAAUGGUGGGAACUCUAGGGAGACUGCCGGUGACAAACCGGAGGAAGGUGGGGAUGACGUCAAGUCCUCAUGGCCCUUACGGCCAGGGCUACACACGUACUACAAUGGUCGGUACAGAGGGUUGCGAAGCCGCGAGGUGGAGCCAAUCCCAGAAAACCGAUCCCAGUCCGGAUCGGAGU